UUUACAUGAAACCCUAAGCAACCACCAUCCCACCCAUACGGUGCGAUGGCAACAGGAGCCCCUCCCCCUCUCGUGACAUCAUCCUAGCCAAUCAAGUUUCUGGACUUGACUGAUUAUCUGUGAGCACAUAUCUUAGAAUACCGAGCAAAACCAAGGUCGUUAGAUACAUGGAGCUUGCACAGGGAGGAGCAGGUCGUUGUGGAGCAU